rnacentral:rRNA from 1 species
AUUGAACGCUGGCGGCAGGCCUAACACAUGCAAGUCGAACGAGUGGCGGACGGGUGAGUCAUGUCUGGGAAACUGCCUGAUGGAGGGGGAAAACUACUGGAAACGGUAGUUAAUACCGCAAACCAUCAGCUGUGCCCAGAUGGGAUUAGCUUGUUGGUGGGGUAACGGCUCACAACGGCGACGAUCCCUAGCGGGUCUGAGAGGGUGAGCGGCAACACGGGAACUGAGACACGGUCCAGACUCCUACGGGAGGCAGCAGUGGGGAAUAUUGGAAAAUGGGCGCAAGCCUGAUGCAGCCAUGCGGCGUGGAUGAAGAAGGCUUUCGGGUUGUAAAGUACUUUCAGCGGGGAGGCGGUACCCACAGAAAAAGCACCGGCUAACUCCGUGCCAGCAGCCGCGGUAAUAC